UACGUAGGCAGCGAGCGUUGUUCGGAGUUACUGGGCGUAAAGGGUGUGUAGGCGGUUGCUUAAGUUUGGUGUGAAAUCUCCCGGCUCAACUGGGAGGGUGCGCCGAAUACUGAGUGACUCGAGUGCGGGAGAGGAGAGUGGAAUUCCUGGUGUAGCGGUGAAAUGCGCAGAUAUCAGGAAGAACACCCGUGGCGAAGGCGGCUCUCUGGGACGGUACUGACGCUGAGACGCGAAAGCGUGGGGAGCGAACAGG
rnacentral:rRNA from 1 species